UUACAGUUGUUGAUGUUUUUUCAAGGGCAACAUGGACACACUUAAUGGGAUCCAAAAGCAAUGCUUUUUCUAUGCUUAAGUUAUUUCUUUCUCAGGUUAAAACGCAAUUUAAUGUGUAGUUCAGACUGUUAGAAGUGACAAUGCCUUAGAAUUGGGAUAUAGCAAUGAGGGUAUUUCCUUUUUUAGCAGCCAGGGAAUCAUACACCAAACCUCCUGCUCUCAUACCCCUCAACAGAAUGGUGUUGUUGAGAGGAAGCAUAGAACCCUCCUAGAAUUGGGAUAUAGCAAUGAGGGUAUUUCCUUUUUUAGCAGCCAGGGAAUCAUACACCAAACCUCCUGCUCUCAUACCCCUUAACAAAAUGGUGUUGUUGAGAGGAAGCAUAGAACUCUCCUUGAAACCUGUAAGGCUUUGCUUUUUCAAUCUGGCAUGCCUGUAUCUUUCUGGGGGGUUUGUUUGUUGACUGCUACCUAUCUACUUAAUAAAAUACCCACCAGAUUACUUCAUAAUAAGUCUCCUCAUGAAAUCUUGUAUGGGAAAGUUCCAACCGAUACUCACUUGAGGACAUUUGGUUGCCUUGCCUAUGCCACUGUCCCAAUUCCUCAAAGGGACAAAUUAAAGCCAAGAGCCAUUCCUUGUGUUUUCCUGGGAUAUCCUUUUGGCAAAAAGGGUUAUAGAUUGUAUGAUCUUGCUUCAAUCUCAAAGGGACAAAUUAAAGCCAAGAGUCAUUCCUUGUAUUUUCCUGGGAUAUCCUUUUGGCAAAAAGAGUUAUAGAUUAUAUGAUCUUGCUUCAAAGAAGUAUUUGGUCUCCAAGGAUGUCAUCUUUCAUGAAUCAUGUUUUCCCUUUAAAUCUGUGUCUCCUUCUGCUCAUCCUCCUGCUUCUUCUUUUCCCUUUGUUCCUUCUGGAGAACAUGAUGAUGAAUCUGAUUCUCCCAUUCACCUCUCUCCUCCCUCUUCUCCCACAUCUGUGCAGCUCCCUUUUCCUGUCACUGUCCCAAUUGAUUCAGCCUUCCCUUCUGCCAACUCACCUCCUGCUUUGGCUUCUUC
rnacentral:lncRNA from 1 species